AUGAGAUUCACAACUUUUAUUAAUUUCUUAACCACACAUUUCAUCUACUAUUAUCGAAAUCUACUAAAAAUCUAAUUUUCAUAUAUCUACCGUUAUCAAAAUCAACCACACAUAUAUACGGGCACAUGAUGUAUUCAGCCGAAAUCAAGACAUUGGGAUUGGAUUUGUAAAUCGAUUCAUUACCUUCAGCUUUAAGAGAAAAAUAAAGAAGAUUCUAUUCAGGAAAAUGCUGUAUAAAAUCCUUGCAAGAUUUCCAUGCAAACUGCAGAUUGCUUAAUUUUUUGUACACAUGGUCCAAUGAACGCCAUUCAUUAUUUCAAGAGUUCCUCUGUUUUCAAAGAACUCUGAACCGGGAAAAGCAUCGCUCCUAUUAAAAUUAAACGCAUACUGAGUUUUAAUCACAAAGGCUAAAAUCUGAGAAAAAAAGUUGCAUUUUCCUGCUCUAACCAAGUUGGAUCAGCACAUGAUGGACCCUUUACACAGAUAGCAUGUUGAAGAUCAUUUAUGAAUGGAAUAAAACAACCCUUUAAAGUCCUAAUUUAGCUUAUAUAUUUCUUCAUGGACGUAUUAAUGGUUCGUACUAAAUUUUUAUAAGCAUCAUAAAGUUAACAUCUUGAU
rnacentral:lncRNA from 1 species